CCAGGGCUCCGAGCCCGGGCUGCUCAGAGCAAGCAGUCCUCCGGGCGGGUCUGAGGUAGUGGAGGCUCCAUCUUCUCCUCCUCCGCCCUCAAAAGUAAACUUUGCCACUCUGCUCGCGGGGUCCUCAGUUCUCCUCGCAGUGCCUCCGGGCGGCGGGGGCCGGCGUCAGGGCCUGUCUGCCUCCCCGGGCGUGGGGCCUUGGGCGCCAUGGACGCGUCGGCGCUGGAGCGGGACGCCGUGCAGUUCGCGCGGCUGGCAGUGCAGCGCGACCACGAAGGCCGCUACUCUGAGGCGGUGUUUUACUACAAGUUCAGUCAAAAAGUACUGAUCCUUUGAAAUCAAAACAUCAGUUGGAUCUAGAGCGCGCCCACUUUCUUGUUACACAAGCUUUCGAUGAGGAUGAGAAGGGGAAUGUGGAAGAUGCCAUAGAGUUGUAUACAGAAGCCGUGGACCUCUGUCUGAAAACCUCUUAUGAAACUGCCGAUAAGACUCUGCAAAAUAAAUUGAAACAGUUGGCUCGACAGGCACUCGAUAGAGCAGAAGCAUUGAGUGAACCUUUGACAAAGCCAUUUUGCAAACUCAAGUCAACAAAUAUGAAAACAAAGACUCCUCCAGUAAGAACACAUUUUCCUCUAGGACCGAAUCCUUUCCUUGAAAAGCCUCAGCCGUUUAUAAGUCCACAGUCAUGUGAUGCACAAGGACAGAAGUACACG
rnacentral:lncRNA from 1 species